rnacentral:misc_RNA from 1 species
CCAAGCUUGGGGCCCUUUGGUGCAGCACCUUUGGGCAAGCUACCUUUGCUCUGGGUCUUUUGUGUCUUUGCCAUUACCUCAGCCUUCUUGGCCUUCUUUUCAUCCUUCAUUUUCUUAAUUCUCUCCUUAAUUUCACGGAGUGCAGCCUCUCUUGCAGCAUCACGUACUUCAGGCUUCUCAGUUCGCCUCUUCUGUAUGACUUCCAAAGUAGCACCAACUAUAGACCUAGAGUAAGGCUUUUUUGUAGCGCGACGUCUCUUCUUAACGGUUUCAGCAGCAAUAUCCUUCUUAUGUUGCUUCCUGUACAUGGCUGUCCAAGUUAGCUUUGAGGGCUUCAAUCGGUUGUGGAAGUACCUCUUGCAUUUUGAAUUGGCAAAGAGGAA